rnacentral:rRNA from 1 species
UACAGAGGUCCCAAGCGUUGUUCGGAUUCACUGGGCGUAAAGGGUGCGUAGGCGGUCGGGUAAGUCUGAUGUGAAAUCUCACAGCUUAACUGUGAAACUGCAUUGGAUACUAUCCGGCUUGAGGAAUGGAGGGGAGACGUGGAAUACUUGGUGUAGCAGUGAAAUGCGUAGAUAUCAAGUGGAACACCAGUGGCGAAGGCGAGUCUCUGGACAUUUCCUGACGCUGAGGCACGAAAGCCAGGGGAGCAAACGGG